rnacentral:tRNA from 1 species
GCGCUCUUAGCUCAGUGGUAGAGCAGCGCUUUUACACAGCGAAGGUCGGGGGUUCAAAUCCCUCAGGGCGCA